rnacentral:lncRNA from 1 species
UGAUUGAGGAGGUUUUAAUUUAGGUCUCAAUUGGGUUUGCUACAUCACAUGUAAACCUAUCUACCCGACUCGCAUUCACAUCACAUGCAAACGGCACAUUGCAGGCAGUUAUAAUCGCAGCAAUAAUUAAAGCUAAACUUUAAAUAAGUGAUGAUCAUGGAUUCUAGUUAGGUCGUAUUACAAGCACAUGCACGUCAAUCGAUCAACUGGUCUUCAACUCUUGAAUUGGUUCCAAGCCUCCUUGAUUCGAUCCUUGACCAACUCUUGAUCCAAUCGCCAUCAACCGCUUAGACCCAUGCUCAUCUCAUGCAUCAUCUUCGUCUUGAUCGUUGACGUACAUCACAUCACAGAAAUACAACCAGAUGUAAAAUAAAAAUAAAAAUAAAUUACAUCUCCUUUUAGGAGGCACGCAGGCCUCUCAAAACAUCAAAUAAGAUGCAUGCAAGCAUCUGAAAAAUUACAUGACAUCGCAGAUCACAUCGCAGGUCAUUACAUUUGAUACCAAAAGGGUUUGAAUCCUAUGAUCAUCACCGUAUGCAACAAUUAUAAUUUUCAGAUCUGAAAACUAACUGAUUGUAUCAUGACAUAGGUUGCUGAUCAUGCUAAUCAUGAUUCUAAACUUUGUAAUCUCAUUAACAAUGCUAUUAGAAUCAUCAUCUUAU